UGCCCGUACCGCAAACCCUGGGAAAUAGGCAAAUCCGUUUCCCAUAAGGCUGAGCUGUGAUGGCGAGCGAAAUAUAGUAGCGAAGUUCCUGAUUCCACACUGCCAAGAAAAGCCUCUAGCGAGGUGAGAGGUGCCCGUACCGCAAACCGACACAGGUAGGCGAGGAGAGAAUCCUAAGGUGAUCGAGAGAACUCUCGUUAAGGAACUCGGCAAAAUGACCCCGUAACUUCGGGAGAAGGGGUGCUCUGUUAGGGUGCAAGCCCGAGAGAGCCGCAGUGAAUAGGCCCAGGCGACUGUUUAGCAAAAACACAGGUCUCUGCGAAGCCGUAAGGCGAAGUAUAGGGGCUGACGCCUGCCCGGUGCUGGAAGGUUAAGAGGAGCGCUUAGCGUAAGCGAAGGUGCGAAUUGAAGCCCCAGUAAACGGCGGCCGUAACAAUAACGGUCCUAAGGUAGCGAAAUUCCUUGUCGGGUAAGUUCCGACCCGCACGAAAGGCGCAACGAUCUGGGCACUGUCUCAACGAGAGACUCGGUGAAAUUAUAGUACCUGUGAAGAUGCAGGUUACCCGCGACAGGACGGAAAGACCCCGUGGAGCUUUACUGCAGCCUGAUAUUGAAUGUUGGUACAGCUUGUACAGGAUAGGUAGGAGCCUUGGAAACCGGAGCGCCAGCUUCGGUGGAGGCAUCGGUGGGAUACUACCCUGGCUGUAUUGACCUUCUAACCCGCCGCCCUUAUCGGGCGGGGAGACAGUGUCAGGUGGGCAGUUUGACUGGGGCGGUCGCCUCCUAAAAGGUAACGGAGGCGCCCAAAGGUUCCCUCAGAAUGGUUGGAAAUCAUUCGCAGAGUGUAAAGGCACAAGGGAGCUUGACUGCGAGACCUACAAGUCGAGCAGGGACGAAAGUCGGGCUUAGUGAUCCGGUGGUUCCGCAUGGAAGGGCCAUCGCUCAACGGAUAAAAGCUACCCCGGGGAUAACAGGCUUAUCUCCCCCAAGAGUCCACAUCGACGGGGAGGUUUGGCACCUCGAUGUCGGCUCAUCGCAUCCUGGGGCUGUAGUCGGUCCCAAGGGUUGGGCUGUUCGCCCAUUAAAGCGGUACGCGAGCUGGGUUCAGAACGUCGUGAGACAGUUCGGUCCCUAUCCGUCGCGGGCGCAGGAAAUUUGAGAGGAGCUGUCCUUAGUACGAGAGGACCGGGAUGGACGCACCGCUGGUGUACCAGUUGUUCUGCCAAGGGCAUCGCUGGGUAGCUAUGUGCGGACGGGAUAAGUGCUGAAAGCAUCUAAGCAUGAAGCCCCCCUCAAGAUGAGAUUUCCCAUUCCGCAAGGAAGUAAGAUCCCUGAAAGAUGAUCAGGUUGAUAGGUCUGAGGUGGAAGUGUGGCGACACAUGGAGCUGACAGAUACUAAUCGAUCGAGGAAGUAAGAUC
rnacentral:rRNA from 1 species